UAUAUUUUGGUGUAUGAUGCACAAAAGUUUUUGAUACUUUUAGAAAUAGUUUGAUUCUAUUAAAUAUAA
rnacentral:tRNA from 5 species